GGGCAUUUCCAGUCUGCUGGUAACGCCUGGUGCCAACAAGACGCCUAGGUGCCUCGCACAGCUGUGUAGCAUGCACAGUACAGGCUUCUCAGGCGCAACCUUUUUUAAGUGUCCUUCUGUUGUUGAUGGGGACUGGCUGUUUAAGUGUCCUCUGUGAUAAAUUACUUUGAUAGUCUGUUCUCAAUGUGAAGAGGAGGAGGAAGGCAACUUUAGAAACUCUUGCCCUGAUGAUGCCACACAUUGAAGGGGAAAGCUCAGGAGACAGCGGCGGCCAUGAAAUUGAUUCGCACUACACCAGUGCCAGAGAGGAUAAUUGGUCCAGACUUAGGUAAUGGCCCAGUGUGUGUACUGUGGAGGUGUGGCACCUCCUCUUCGGUCUUCCUUGCUCAUUAAGCCAGAGACCCCAGCAUGGUGCUAUGCCUCGGCGAGCAGUCCUGAGCGCUUGUGCCGGCCUAUCCACCUCCACCUCCACCUCCACCACCACCGCCUCCUCUUCCUCCACCCUCGCUUCCCGCUGCCACCAGGUGCUCUGCCAUGCCAUGAGCACACCAUGUCCACGUCCACGUCCACUGUGCAUCGUCUGGUAGUGUGUGGAGCCUGACGGUUGGUGCGCUCCCACGUCAUCACUUCUCCGCUUUCUGAGAGAGGACACGCUCUUCCUUUCUGAUACAGGACAUGCUCUUCCUUUCUGAUAUAGGACAUGCUCUUCCUUCUGAUGGAAAAGGAACAGUAAGACACCUGUUUUAGUAGAUGAUGAUGACUACAAUGAAAUAGUAAAUAUCAAUCAUAUGAAAUGUAAAUAAUGUUACAAUUUUAUUUUCAUUUAGUUUUAUUUCACGCAGAUUUUAUUUGAGUGUGUCCUUAUUUUUUAGCCGUAAGCUAAUUUGUAGUUUUUUCAGGAGCACUAGUAAAAGCUUGCAGCUCUACUCACAGAACAGGACCAAUAAAAAAACGCCAGACCAACUCACAAUACAUCUAUUAUCUCUGUCCUUGUCUGCCUGUGCAGUUGAAUCACUGGUUUAGGUUUUUUCAAUCCACAGGCACGAUGACAUACAAAAGCUUGAACUGAAACGUUUUUUCUGGACACAUUCAUUAUUUUGCUGCAAGGCUACCUUAUACAGAGGAUACAGUUUGGAGUGAAGUGAAUUGUGCUGUUACAAAUGUGGGCUAUCAAGGCUGUGAACUACAUCUAUCUCUUUCAAAAAACUGAAAUAAAACCCACGCCAGACCCAUACAACCAAGAGCUGUAUAAAUCCAUAAGAUUUCUUGUGCAGCACAUCCCAUUAAAGGCCUAUUCACACAA